AUUGAACGCUGGCGGCAGUCCUAACACAUGCAAGUCGACCGAGUGGCGGACGGGUUAUUCAUGUCUGGGACUCUGCCUGAUGGAGGGGGCUAACUACUGGAAACGGUAGCUAAUACCGCAUACCAUCAGAUGUGCCCAGAUGGGAUUAGCUAGUUGGUGGGGUAACGGCUCACCAAGGCGCAGAUCCCUAGCUGGUCUGAGAGGAUGACCAGCCACACUGGAACGGAGACACGGCCCAGACUCCGACGGGAGGCAGCAGUGGGGAAUAUUGCCCAAUGGGCGCAAUCCUGACGCAGCCAGGCCGCGUGAAUGAAGAAGGCCUUCGGGUUGUAAAGUACUUUCGGCAGGGAGGCGUUACCCACAGAAGAAGCACCGGCUAACUCCGUGCCAGCCGCCGCGGUAAUAC
rnacentral:rRNA from 1 species